UUAAUUUUUUUUUUUUUU
rnacentral:rRNA from 1 species